GAAGAUAGAGGACCAGGGCAGAGCAGGACACCCAAAGCACAGAGUCCCCCUUGGUGUAGACCUUGGCAAAGAGACUCGCGUGGCCGGAGGGGAGAGAGGCUCCUGGGAAGGACUGGGCAGGACAGAGGGCCCCGUGGACAGGAAUUUUCAGGUGGUUGUCACCCUCGGGUGGCCAUUGGAUGUAAAGGGCACAAGUGAGCCCUCGUGGGGCUCUCCUGGUGGGGGGAGGUGAACAGAUGACAAUGGCAUUCAAGGAGAAGCUCUCUGCUGUGUGUGGGGGAUGGAUGGAGUGGGGACGGGUUCCCCACUUUGAUUAUGUCCACGAUGUUCUUGAUCCUGGAAGCUCUGCAUCUGCCUCUCUCUGGAGGGCCCGGCGAUGGGGACGCCCGAUUUUCUGGGUGGGAGGAUCCGUGUCGGGGCAUCGAGAUGAGGCCGAUGAUGUGAACUUCAUUGGGACGCGUGUGGGCACGAGGAAGGGGAAGCCCUCUGGGCGUGUUGGGGUGCCAGUGACGGCUCGGCUCGUCUUGGGGGGAUGCCGAGGCCCGUCCUCCGAGAACGCCUCUGAGUGUGGCUCGCCGGGUACCCCUGCGCACUCCCUCGCACGCGGGAACUCGAAGAAGCGCUGCAAAGCUCUGGCCGCGGCUCUGCCCUUCCGGGUUCUUGUUCUCUGUUAGCACCAUUAAGACUAUUUUAGGACUAUUGGCUGCUCCAGAUCCGCUUCUCGCUGGCCUGGGCGCUCCAGCCGGGUGGGAGCCCCCGAGCCAAGUCACUGGCUGGAGGGGGGAGGAGAAGGGCCUCGUGUCGGGACAGGCAGGGGGGACGCGGAGCACGUGGGGGCUGUGCCUUCUGCGGCCGGGCCGACGGCUAGCAGAUCCAGCGGAUGAACCUGUCGAAGAAGCUGGGCUGCGAGAGGCUGUCGUAGUCCUUCUCCUGGAAGAUGGCGGCCCGAUCUCCCAGGCUGAUCUUCAGGAGCAGCUCCAUGUCCACGUCGCUCCCCAGGGCCAGCACGGUGGGCACGACGUCCUGCUUGCGCAUGGAGUGCAGUGACUCAUUCAGACUGACCUCCCCCGUGAUGCCGUCCGUGAUGAAGACGAAGGAGAGCUCGGCGUUGCGGCGGGCGCCCGCCUGCUGGUCCAUGACGAUGUUGUUGAUGGCGUGGAUGAUGCCGGUGCCCACGUGGGAGAAGGAGUUGAGGUACCGGACGUUGCUCACGUCGAUGAACUUCUCGGCCACGAGGUCGGAGAAGAGCGUCAUGUUGCGCACGCGGCCGCGCUGGUUGCAGGCGAUGGACGUCAGGCUCUCGCUCUCGUGCUGCUCGUUGAACAUGUCGCCGAUGCCGAUGGCGGUGACCACCACGUUCUCCACCUUGUCGCAGAGGGCCUUCAGGGACUGCUCGUUGUCGCGCGGGUCGUGGCGCCCGUCGGUGAUGACCACGGCGAACACGCGCGUCUUCUUGCGCCGGCUGCCCUUGAUGAGCUCGUUGUAGGUGUAGUUCAGGGCCGACGGCGUCCACGUGCCCCCCGCGAUCCACUCCAGCUUCUUCACCUCCUCCUUGAACUGCGCCAGCGAGCCGAUGCGCCCGUCGUCCAGCUUGAUGGCCUCGAAGGUGCCGUCGUGGCUGUACUGGACCACCCCGAUGCGGGUCCCUGAAAGAGAGCGCCGCCGCGCUGGGGGGAGCCCGGAGCGGCCCCGCCGCCCCUCCCCCCUGCGGCCGGCCCUUCGUCUCCAGCGAGAAGGGGCGUUUCCAGGGGGCGGCGGGGGUCCGGCUGCCCGUCCGGUCUCGGACGUCUCCUGGCCGGGUG
rnacentral:lncRNA from 1 species